GCCAGCAUAGCAUAGUGGCUUGAGUGUUGGACUUGGACUCUGGAGAUCAGGGUUCAAUUUCCAGUUCAGCCU